AAGGGCACAGUGCUGGCUCAUGAUCAUCCUGCUGUCCACCAGGACCCCCAGGUCCCUUUCUCCUACGCUGCUCUCUAAUAGGUCAUUCCCCAACUUAUGCUGGACCCUGGGGUUGUUCCUACCCAGAUGCAAGACUCUACACUUUCCCUCAUUAUAUUUCAUUAAUUUUUUCCCCGUCCAACUCUCCAGCCUGUUCAGGUUUUGCUGGAUGGCAGCGCAGCCUUCUGGCAUGUCAGCCACUCCUCCCAGCUUGGUGUCAUCAGCAAACUUGCUGAUAGUACACUCUGUUCCCUUGUCCAAAUCAUUGAUGAAUAUAUUGAAUAAUACCGGCCCCAGUACUGACCCUUGAGGCACUUCACUAGAUACCAGCCUCCAACUAGACUCUGCCCCACUGACCACGACUCUCUGGCUUCUUCCCUUCAGCCAGUUCACAGUCCACCUCACUACCUGAUCGUGCAUACCGCACUCCCUCAGUUUAGCUGUAAGGAUGCUGUGGGAGACUGUGUCAAAAGCUUUACUGAAGUCAACGUAGACCACAUCCACCCCUCUGCCAUCACAUGCAGAUCACAUUUUCAAAGCAAAACACCAUAAUAACCACAGGAAAGACAUAAACACAUUUGCAGAGUCUACCAAGCCCAAUCAUGUAUGGGUGUUUUUCUGCAAGCUGAUAAGGAGAUAAGAAAAAAAAAUCUUAUGGGUAAGAUAUCUUGAAAUUUAGGUAUUGACAAAGUAUUUUCAGCAGAUCUCUGUAACAAUCCUGACUGUUCGGUUAUGGUAAAUGUGAUGGUGUCAUAUGUGUCAGACUGGCAAUGGCAUCAUGGUGAGAUAUGAUACGGUGGCUGCUGCUAUUGCCUCAGGCCCUUCUCAUCUGAGCCUAACUUUGCCUCCAACAACUCCUACUCUUUUUUUUUUUCUUCAGUCUCCUACAGUUGGAGAAAGAAGAGAGGAACAACUUCUUAAACAAAGUGUUCUGUAAAUGGUGAUUGCCUGUUGUUAGAGAUGGGAGACUUGAAAAAGACAAUUAGGACAUCAUGUUGUCCAUGUUGUGCAAGCUAAAAAAGAACAAAAAAUUAGAAGGUCAGAAUACUCUUCAGAAGAGUUUGCAAAACAGAAAUACAUGAUCUAAAAGAAAAAUAUUGUGAGUACUAGCACUCCAUUCCAAUGUACUUGCAUGGCAGGUACGCUUUUUUCCGUUACAUGAGCAGGAACCCUCUAGCAGUGCCAUACUUUCUCAGGUAAUUUAUUAAUGGCAGUCUAAAUUACACAUUGGCAUUUUUGGAGAAGUUUUGCUCAUGGCUCCCUGUGAUCUGGGUGAGGUGUAAACAGGUGUAGCAUGGAGAGGCUGGCCACACGGGGCAGGUAUUCUGAAGUCUGCUUUCAUUUAGGAACAAAAGACAGGCUGAAGUUAGGAGGGAGGAAAUACAUAUCACAGCUGUGCCCAAUAUCUAAUGCAUAACUUUAACACUGGCAAAAGAGGAAAUGAAAUUUGAACGUGGGGAGGGGAAGUGUCUCUAGGGAAAAGGCACAUUAAAAACAACAAGAGGAACCCAGGACAAGUCUGUUCUUGAUUUGAAGGCCCAUAGUGUAGCAGUCUGCUGAGAGGAACUGAAAGACUCUCUUUUGUAACAACAGGGGCUUUGAGUGUUGCACAACCAGCUGAGAAGCAUUCUGGGACAUCCACAAGACUUCUGUGCAUAAAUAUAGAGGAGGAGGGACUGUCUCACAGGAAGGUGUUUUUUGGUACUUAUACUACAAACCUGGUAAAAAUAACAAUGUAUUCUGGAGUCUGGAACUGAUGCUAUGACAGUGCUGGGGACAGGGGACUUAGUCACUCUCCACUCCUGAGUUUUACCUCUGCUCUUCCUCUCAUUAUUUCACAGGCCUGAGAAACAGAAAGGACUCGGAACUUGAUCUGCAGAGCUAGUGUUUGACAGCUUGCUUGAAUCGACUGGCAAAACCAGACGCCCAACACAGGGAGCAAUUGCAGGACCAUAUCUUAGCAUCUUUCAGAAUGAAAAAGCACUUGAAUAGGAAUUGGAUUAGUCUGCUUGUUUAAGUAAAGACAAUAUUUGGAGUAGUUUGCAAGGAAUAUGGAAAACUCUACUAUUAAUCCAUACAGAAGAUGACUCAGAAAAGAAACAGUUACUCUGAGAAGGCUGCAUGCAGGUUCUUGGGGGCCUGCAGUGUGAGUCCAACAUGGGCUCACUACCAGCUCAGGAAACAGGCAAAAUGGAUUAUGAAGUGAAGAGAUGCUCAUCUUUCACUCCUCACUAAAGCCCCCUGGGAGAGGCGAUGUUUCCGGACUGCUAAUGUCACAGCAUGACCUGUUAAUAACCUGCGAGAGCCUUCCUCCACUCCGCCGCCUCCCGCUCCCCCAGGACCCAGCAGCUGCCGUCACAUGGAUCAAAUGCCUGCCUUGUAUGCGGUUCAUUGAGAAAAAUUCAAGCAUGUGGCCUGAGGUUCCCCUGAUGACUGUCUGGGGAUGAUGAUUUCUACCAUCUGUUCUGGCUGCCUGCGGCUCCCGGAAACACCGAGGUGUAUGUUGCUUCUGGCCAUACGUGGGAUUCCUAAUGAAACCUCAGCUGCCGUCCAACUGUCUGCGAAUAUCAGAUGGGUUUGAAUUAUCUUUCCGCCAAGAGGGGAGGGAGAAGAAUUUUGUUUAACUCUUUAAUCUGAACCGCUACACAGCACAUGCAUAAUCACAGGGUACAAAGCUGCUGAAUUAUUAGCAUCUGCAUCACGUUGGCAGCUGCAGCAUUUGCACGUGUGCCGGGUCUGUCCGAUUUGAGAUGCCCAGGCUGGUUGUUUCCAGGCUAAAUAUACAGCCUCGAGUCAAAUUCAUCUUACUGCAGCUCAUUUGAAAGCCCUGUAAUUAUACCAGAGAUUUAUUUGAUCCCUUCACUUCUGAUUUGUGUUAAAGGCACAUUUCAGUCAUAUAAAUUGUAUAUCGGUAUAUAAAAAAAAGGCUGCUUAUCAAAUGGUUUAAAUGCAGCCAAGUAAUUGCAGCAGUUUCAAAGUUAUUUGUUGAGAUGGAGGAAGACACAGCAAAUGGAUAUUAAUUUUGCUAUAUGAAAAAGACUUUCAUGGAAAACACCUUGAUAACAAAAAAUAGAAAUCACUUGUCUUUCAGGAUUUGACAUCCUGUCUGUUAUUUUCCAUGUAAUCUAUCAUUUAGAAACCUUUACUUGCCAUUUGCUGAAUAUCGGAUUUCAGUGAAUGUUGAGGGGCACUAAAUCACUUAAGAGUACCAGGUCUCAGCAGAAGAGAUUUGACAUUCUUUCUUGUUAGAAUUACCUAGAUUUUUCCAUUGAUAUUCAUACUAUUUUCUUUGAAUGAAUAGAUGCUCUCAGUAAGAAAUCCACUGAGCUUUAUGUGGUUGAAAAAAUUGUUUACAUAGUCAGUGCUGGAGCAGCGAAGUUGCUGAAUGGAUCAGGAACAACUGCUUACAUUUCUUGCAGUUAUUGUUCAGGCAGGGCAAUACAGAAUACAAAGUUGCAUAUGUGACCUCAAAACAAGAAAAAAAAAAAAGAAAAUAAAAGAAAAGGAAAAGGAAGUAUCUCCCCAUCAGUAGGCAACAGUGAUAGCCUUGUACCGGAUGUUUCACAUUUUCAGAUUCCAGUUAAACACCUCUGUAACGUGACCUCACCCACUUAUUUUUAGAGGCUGUUUUUCUACUAAUAUUGUGGCUGCUAAUCAAAGAAUGCAAAAGCACUUCUUAGCAGUGGCUUGCUGAGGGGCGUUUGAUUGUUUCUGCUCUUGGAGCUUAUUUUGUUAUGCUAUGAGACAUAACAGCAAUCUGCAAAUGCAUUCAGCAGCUCGUGCCGAGGCAUGGAGGUGGGAGGCAGGGUUCCCACCAUGGCUGUUAUUCCUUUCUCUUGUUGACUGACUCAUGCAGAGGUGUGCACACAGCUCUUACAUAUGCACACUGUCAGAAAUCAAUAUGAGGGUAGAAGACUUGAAAGCAGAUAUUGCCAGAAAAUUCAAUAAAGCUUAGAAAAGUAUUUCUAAUUUUCUACUUUAUUGAUAGGGGGUCUUUUGUUUGGUUGGUUGGUUUGGUUGGUUGGGGUUUUUUGUUUGUUUUUUGUUUGUUUGGUUGGUUAGUCUUUUUUUAAAGACACUCAAAGAUGCAGUAAUGAUAAGGAAACAUUUCACACAUUUGUCUUUUCCAUCCAGGAAUGAUCCAGUAACUACCUCUGCCUUCAUCUUUAAAGCAGUUUUACUUUUGUAAAUCAGUCCAAGACUACUGGCUUUUAGCAAACAUGAGCUAGUUAAGCAGGGCAUGCAAAUACUGAGGAGGUGGUUUGUCUAUAAUGUAAAGCUUCUCUAGGGACGUUUCUCUUUCUGUGGUCUGGAUGUAUGAAAAUUUACUAGCAGCAUCUGACAAAAAAAACCCAAAAACCAAAAAACAAAACAAAACAAACAAACAAAAAACAACCCCCCCAACAAAUAAACAAAAAAUAAACAAACAAAAAAAUCCUCCACAACUAUAGCUUUUAAAAUAGUUAGCUUUCAGUCUGCAGGUUUUUAAGGAAAAUCUGCUAUUUCUUUCUUCUGUCUGCGUAGUUCUCUGCAUCACUUAAGAAAGAUUUGACAGAUGGAGACAGCUUGUAACAAUGUACUUGAAGUUCUGAAAGACUAAAAUGAGUAAUCAAAACCAUUCCAAAAAUGACUUUUUCAUGAAUCUGUCUAAAAAUAUAUGUCACAGAGAAUUUCAUUCCCUUCCUUUCCACUCCUCUUUUUUGUUUGAAGUAAGGUAGAUAUUUAUAUUUAGCUGUAUCUCAUUAUGCAUGAUUUCCCUUCUCUGUUAGUCACAUCAUGUGUUGGCUUGCAGUUCACCAGUGACGUAAGAUGUUGCAAAAUGUCACUAAUACAUCUGUUAAGUGACAGUGAACUAGAAAUAAAACAAGGAGAUCCCAAAGUGAAUCUCAGCAUCCGUUUCUGCCAUAGUCCACUUUUGAUGAAAUUUAGAUUAUGAUGAGAUAUCUGAAAGAAUUACUCUGAAAUGGAAAAACAUACUUUGCAAUUCCCAGGCCUCAAAAGAUGACUGUAAUCAUGCUCCAAGGGACAGAACACAAAUGCUUCCCUCCUGUCACUUGAAAUAUUUCCUUUAGGCUUAGAGGGCUAUUAGAGGGAUUUGGGUCUACAUACCUGUGGGAACACUUGGCCUGAAGGGCUUCUUUCUUGGUUGCUGUUUCGAGUUGACUUUUGCACUGAAUUCCCAGUCAUCCAUGCUACAAACCCUAACAGGGCUAGGUGGAAAACUGAGGAGAACAUCACAGAUGAUGGGGGAAGAAAUAGUUGUCAGAGCAAUUUUGUUGGUAGCACAACAGAAAGAAGUCUGCAUUUCCAAGUAGAUCCAUACCUAUUCCCUGGCCCACAUUGUGAACAUCCAGCCUGAGGCAUCUCGAGGGUCUGGCUUACACAGGUGCUGAGCACUUACCUUUUUGGUUGUAGCUUUAAUAGUUUUCAUUUCUGAAAAUGAAAUCUAUGAUUUCUCAACACAUCCAUCAUUUAUGGAUGCAUGCAUUAAAAGUAGCAUAGAAUCAUUUUGGUUGGAAGAGACCCUUAAUGCCAUCGAGUCCAACCAUAACAUAAAUCUAGCACUAAACCCUGUCCCUAAGAGCCUUGUCUAUGAUCUGGAUUUGUGUGUGAUUAUAAGUGGAGUGUUAACUAUCUCUAAAUGAAGGAAAUUUCAGAGCUGAGGGCCUCUUUUGAUAAAAGCCCUAGAAGUAUCGGGGUUACCCAUAUAAUUCAGAUCAUAAAGACAAUCCUAAGGUUUUAGAGCCCUCCUAAGCAGCCUUGUUAGAUAGAGAAGAAGAUAAAAUUUUACAUGGAGAAAGUGAACAAAGGCAACUUCUCUGCUAAAUAGACUGUGGAGUACUUUCCUACAGAAAAUAUGCAGGUGCCAUCACUCAAGAUGUUCACAAGACUGACUAAAAAUCUGAAAUAUAUAGGUAAGAUUAAUUCUAUGCUGAAGUAAGGUUCUAAUGUGACUGCCCAUCUCAAACAGCUAUAAUGACAUUCCUUUGCAGUAGCAAACUCAGAAUGAGCAAAGAAUAAUUAGUGCUAAGUAAGGGAGUCCUUUGCCAAAUAAGUGUCCCAUAUUCAAUUAGAGCAACAUUCUGACUGCUGUAGCUUGUCCUGCCUGUCUGCUAUUUUAAGGAAUUGAUACCGCAGCUGGCAGUCAGCAAGGUUUGUUAUGACAGCAAGUGCAUACACAAAUAGUAGAAGUCCGAAGUUGCUGGGCUUCCUAGAAGGAAAUUUUAAACAACCUCACAAGAUCUUAGGUAAAUCGUUUGGACUGGCCAACAAAAAGAUAAAUCCCAGACAUGUGCAACGGUAAAAAUUGUGAGCCUUACAAAGAUGAAAUGACUACAUAAAAUGGUACUCUCUGAAGAGGCCAUAGCUGCCAUGGCAGAGAAGUUUGUUUGUUUGUUUGUUUGUUUGCUUUUAUUUUCAUUUUGCUCUGGGCAUGCCACUGAAUUUAAGUUACUGUAGGUGACAUUAUUCAGGUGUGAUACUGACUGCCAAUAAACUUCUUAACAUUCUAGGUAAGUUUAGACCUAAUUUUGAAAUAGUUAUACUGCACUGAAAAAAACAAUUACAAAUACAUUAUUAAGCACUUGGUUUUGACUGAGUUUUUGCGUAACACAUUAAAUGCAAUGUGUGAGUAACUGGGUUAAUGUGUAAGUCACUGGGUUCUGCUUUCUGAAGCAAGCAAGAAGGUAUCAAAAGUGCCAGUAGAUAAUGACACAAAUCUGUCAUUCUGCCAGUUCUUUCAGUUAAAUUACAUCCUAAAUCCUUACAAUACAUAGCUGUGUACUAGUGAAAAUUUCAGCAAAGGACAGCCAAAGUCUAGCUCUGGAGAACUGAUGUGAUUGCUUGGUAGCCUUGAUCCCUGAUCGGCAACUGAUACAGAGCAGUCUUCAAUCAUCUUAUUUUAAUCCAGACUUUAAACCAAAUUCUACUAUGCCUGUAAGACUUAAGUCCUCAAAUACCUACAUGGUCAAUGGGACUGCUGUUGGAAUAAGAGACUUCUCAUUAAGGUAAUCAAGUGCAUGAGACUCUGACCCUUUGCUAGUAUGCUGUUUCACUUUUUUGCUUUCAGAUUUUUAUUGUCCUUAUAUUGUGUACUCAUCCUAUGUGUUCAUAUGUAGAGUUUUGCAGUGAAAUUACUGCACUAAAAAUACUGUCGAUAAAAAGAAAGAUAAAUGAUGUGGUAUCAGGAAUGACUGUAUCAGUAUGAAAAUUUUUGUGAUAGAGACCUUUCUUGCUAGCAACUAAGAACAGACAGUAUUUUUUUGCCUCUUAUAUGCCUUUUAUCUUUCUAGGAGCGCACACACAAAAAUAUUUCAGAAAGUUUCACAGUGGUAUGGCUGAGGAGAAAGGAAUGACAUCCCAAAGAGCUGGAUCCCUUUCUCCUACCAGGUUCUCCUCAGAGACACUUGCCCAUUAAGGGAAAGAACACAGUUUCAGUUUCAAUGGAUGCAGUUCUUAUUUAUUCUGGGUACAGUUGAUAGGGUGACUCACUGCUCUGCUAAUGAAAGCCUGGUGUUUUGCCUUUAAAAAAAUACAUUCUGAGUUCAUUCAAGCAAACCAGAUUUUACUUGCUGCCUUUUUUCUGCUAUUUUAAGGACGGAGGACAAUGCUAAUAGGUAGAAUUAGAGAUAUAUGUUUGUCCCUGCAUGAGCAUAAAAUGGAAGCACACAAUUAAAAACCCAGUGAACUAGAAAGGAAGGUGUACAGUGAGUAACAGCAGGUGUAUAGGUCUACGUGUCUCAAACAAGGCGUAAUGUGAUCACAAUCUCAGCCUUCCCAUGGAUGGUGAAUAGGAACACGAAACAAAGGAAGAAAAUGGGGCCACAUCCUCCCUUGGUGUAAAAUGUCAGAGUUCUGCUGAAGUAAAUGGGACUGUGCUUAACAGCCUUAGAUACAGAUUUCAUCUUCUCAGCGUUGUCCCCAGUUGAACCCUUGCCAGGCUGCCACGUAUCAGAGAAUUGUACAAUCAUAGAAUGUCCUGAGUUGGAAGGGACCCAUCCAGCUCCUGUCCCUGUGUAAGACAACCCCAAAGUUCACACCAUGUGUGUGAGGGCAUUGUCCGAUUGCUUCUUGAAUACUGUCAGGCUUGGGUACGUGUCAUUCCACCCCAUCUGCCUGAUCUUCAGCUUUCUCUCGUUUAGGUAAAUAGCAACACUUCUCUUCCUGUAACCUGGAUCUCGGGUUAUGCCUUCCUUCAUGGGAUGAAAGCUCUGCUGCUUUGCUCUCCCACCAGCAGCAAUGUCUGCCCCGGGGCUCAGGCGUACAUUUCCCUGAGCUGCUACUCAGUGGGGACUCACAGUCUGUAGUCUCACUUCUCAAGGGCAUGCAUGGAUGUACAGACAUGUGCAAAUACGUUGUACAUGAGAUUAAGCAAUAUGUUAGUUUUUAUUUUACUAACAUGGAAAACAUGCAGAUUAAAGGGGAAGAAAAUAAUGGGCUAAAUCCCAGAUGCAUUUUUUCUUCUGUUUUCUGCUCUGAGUAUUUUGUUUGGGUUUUGGGUCUCUGUGACCAAGUUCCUUAUCUUUCCACCAAGACAUGGAGCAUCUUUCCCUCUCUGCUGGCUGCUGGCCUGUUUGUCCAUUUCUGAUAACCAAAUUGAACAUAAUCCUUCAGCUGCUAUAAAAAUAUGCUGCUUUAUCCCCACCCAGCUGCAUACUGAGUAACUCUGUGCUAUUUCUUGAUCUGUACCACCUCUAUGCUCUUAAAUAAUGCAAUUGCCAGGGAUUUUCUAUUUUCACAUUCAGCAGUAAAAAAGCCCUAUAUUUUUCUGGCUUUAGUGAACCGAUUGCUCAGUGCAUUUUCAUCUGAAAAGGUGGCCUUUUAGGUUUGACUACAGAUUGCAGUUCUUUCAGAAGUGUUACUCAGCUUUUGUUAGUAAACGCAUCUAUAGAAAUGAUAUUCUGUAAUACCAGUAUUUCCAUACUAACAAUUUAAUAAUUUAUAUAUUUUUAAUGAGCUUUAUCCAGUUGACACCCUGCAGUCACAGGUUAAUUAUCUACUUAAGUCCUGAGGGUAUUUUUAUUGUUUAGUGAGUUUAAAGAUAAUUUUCAAAGACAGGCACAGAUUAUAUUUUUCUGAAAGUCAUAAAGGAAAGGACAACAUGAAGUCAGACCUGGAAACUGAAUCUACUGACUGCUUUGAAGAACUUAUUCCUAAGUACUUUACAGCUCAGGUUUCAGCAAAAUGAAGGAGACAGUUCUUACUAUAAUCUGUUUGAAGAGAGGGAAUUAUGGACAUCUUACUUGUAAUUUCAUUAUAAUAAAAUGGGAAAUAUUAGAUAACUGCCAAAAACAAACCUUUAAAGAUAAAUCCUGGCCCACUAAAGAAAAUGGCAGAAUUUCCAGUGCUUGGAAUGGUGCUAACAUAUAAUUUCACUGGUUCAAUGAGGUAAACGAUACAAAACAGACCCUUUUUUAUAUACACUGGUUUCCUGAGUGAAGUGACAAAAUAUAAAAGAUAAGGACAGGUGGCUUCAACAUAUGAUAAAAAGGUUGGAUGUCCAUUAUCAUUUGAGUUAAGGAAAGCCAUAUCAUGUGUCUAUGAGAACAAGCAGGGGAAGUUUAAAUGAUAAUUUGAAGUGCAGACUUCAGCCCAGCACAACUGGAAUAGUACUUGAGAGCAAUGGUCUACCAUGUUGUAGUGACAUUUUGCCAGCUGUAAAGUAAAAUAAGGGCUGUACUGCAAUAACAUCAGAUUUUAAUAUUAGCUCCAGAAGGGAUAAAUUUUAAUUUUCUUGCUAGUUCUAAGAGCACUUUUCUGCAUUGUCUGAUGGAGGAAAAGAAAGUUUUGCCCUCCUCUAAGUGUCCAGUGCACUCUGCUGUUGAAGAGCACUGGAAUUUUCACUUUUACCUGAGUUCUGCUCUUAAAUGUGAACAUACAACAGCAUUCUUCAGGUUCUGAGGGAUGUGCUCUAAUUUGUUCCAGUACACAAUGCAAAAUAAAUUUCACAGAAGAAAAUCUGCUGUUAGCUGGUUAGUCCCACUGGGUAUAUUUGCUUCUAGUAUCCACUGUUAGUUCGCUUGAGAUGGAAAAGCAGAAACCAGACUUACUGUUGUUUCACAUAAAAGCUCCCGCACAGUUUGGCAACUGCACUUUGCAGAGUCAUUUCCUGUGAGUCAGUAAAAAGCUCUCAAAGAGAAAGAAUAGUUUUGCUAAAUUGGAUAAGUAAUACCUGCUUUUAUGAUUUCCAGUCUUGGGAGACUCAUUUUUCUUUAACCAAAUUUCCAUGGUAUUCUAAUAAAAAACACUGGAUGCCAUUUGCCUCUAUUCUCCCUAGAUUUCCACAGCUUUGCUUAUUCAACAGAGUUUUUCAGGAAAGUUUUGUAUGUCCCUCUCCCUGCACACAGUGUUCUGCUGCCAGGUAGGUAAACUUCAGAUUCAGCUACAAGCCUUUAUUCGCACUGUCUCCUAGUGUGCAAGUGCAACACAGAGAAGUGGGCUUUGGAGAAACAGCAUAGCAAAUGCAACUCCUAAGAAGAAAUUAUGUUGAUAGGUUCUCAGUUAAAUUGCACUAAAAUAAUCGUUGUUAAUUGUGUAUUCUUUCAAUGUUCCAGCUUACAGCCCUGGCAGUUCGAAAACACCUAUUAACGACACAGGAAGUACCAUGCAAGAAAUGUCUGUUCCAGCUGCCCAACAGCACCAGCUAAUGUGCUCAGAUCCAUUUUCAGGGGUGAGGAAGCAGGUUGUUUGCUCUAUUCAGCCUGUGCCAGGGUUGCCAGGAUGUUGAACAAAAUUGUGUUUACACAAGGAGUUCUUUGCUGAUAUGAGAAUACCGGUGUGCUCCACUGGCAAAAGGCUUCUCAUGCAAUUGGAAGCUGCAACAGCAGAACUGUGGAAAGUCACCCCUCACAACUGAGACAGCAGUGAGAGUAAAACAGCUCUUUCUUCUGACAUAACCCUUUUUGAAUUGCAGAAUUCAGAUGGUGUGGCUAUGUUGGGGCAGAGGUGAAAGGAGUUGAAAGCCAACUUCCUUCCAAAUUACUAUGGGCAGAGUGUACAUUUCUGAGUAAGUGUAAGUGUGAGGAAAAGAGGUGGAAGAGUGGGAACACUAAGAGUCAUAAAAGUUCUCCUGUAAGUGCUCUUAGAGAUUUGAGACUCACUUCAUGUAGACAGCUGCCAAUUUGUGUUUUGUACUUAGAUGGAAUUGCAUCAUCCCAUGGAAUAAUCUAGGAGGUAAAGAUGAGGAAGGAGAAGUGAAACAUUGAUACUCCAAACAUUAACAUAAGCACAAGAGUAGAAACUGGACAAGAACAAAUUUAGUCUUCAAAGCAGAAGAAAAUUCCUGACCAUUAGAGGACUAACAUCCUGUAAUGGUGUCCCAGCAGAAAAAUGGUAGGGGCAAGAAGUGCUUAACUACUGAGGGACUGACAGUAGCAUACUGGUCACAAACACACUUGGUGACCCAGGAAGACCCUCGCAGUCUUAUGUUCCAAAUAAAUAUUUUAGGAUUUACAACAGAAGAUAGUUUGUAAAAAUUUAGGAAUACAACAGUACUGUGUCCUGGAUGUCAAAUGGAAAAGAGUCUCAGCUCCAAAAAAUAUCUGGGUGAAAAACGCUACUCUACGUUGAUAUUCCUGGCUGAAGCUGUUUGAGCCCCUGAUGAUGUAUAAGAUCAAUGCAAGAAAUCAGCAUGAAAAUAAGCAGAUAGAGUUAUUUUUAAAGGGGGAGCAUGUGGCAGUUUGCAGAAGGCUGCAGAGGGAGCAGUAUCCAACAGGUCACCUCUGUCCACAUCAAGUCCCUUUGUGGGGUACAUCCACUAAUGGACUUCUCAGAAAGAAAAGAAAAUGAUUGUAGAUAUAUAGAUACACAGGUUCUUCCCUGUCUCCACUGCUGACCUGUAGUUCUGUAUCACAAGCAGCAUUUCUUCCUGAGCUGGAUGUACACUCCCGUUGCUAAUGAAGAGGGAAACAUCCGCAGGAGUAAGAAUAUGACCUGGAUGGCAUCAGGUAACCCAGGAGAAAAAUGCUCCUCCCUGCCUGUCAUUGCUGGUUCUCAGAGCUAUUUUUUUCUAACUCCCGAUUUCUGCCUUCAAGGUAUUGCUAGAUGUUGUCAAAACUGUAAACAAUUUGAACCUGUCCUGCAGAACUGUUUUUCUUUGUUUUACAGUCAUAGAUCCAUUUAAAGCAGCGCUGCCUUUUAUAGCAAAAACUACACACAUGCUUCCAGUGGUGUGAAUCACAUUACAUGCCAAUUCAAAUGCUGUAACGGUACCUUAUGUAGUGGAAAUGCCACCAUCUGGUGGUUGCAUCACUGCUGAAAUGCGUACUGGCGGGGGUGGAAAGAGGGAUUGAGCUGCCUUCGCUCAGUGAGGAAAUCCUGGUUUAGAUUUAGACUAAGGCUCCCUAAAAAUCAUUUCUCCUGGACAGCAUUUCACAGUACAGAUGUGCCAGAUAAGCCCAGCAAUGCAGAGUAGGAGAAGACACCAGAAUGAAUGUUAUUUUUUUAUGAUGGGAAACUAUCACUGGGAAGCUUGCGAUGUUCAGACACUUCUAACAUGAGCUUUGUUUCUGGUUGUUUUUUUCCAGAGAGGUUGGUAGGACAGAGUCUCAAGGUGACUUCUUUAAGAAGCACAUAGAGAGGCCUCCUACACACUGCUUGAAAAUGCAGCUUCUCCCUCCUCCUGUUUAAAUGCUUUCUACAGGCUUGUGAAAAGGAAGGUCUGACACUGGCAGAAACUUAUUCUCUCCCUAUGAGAUGCGCUCUACAGGAUCUUACUUUCUCCUGUAUUUUCUUUUUUUUUCUGUCAAUGUCACUUUGUUCCAGGGAGGCUUUUGUUAGGGCGUAAUUGUAUAUACAUCCUUCUGAGCUAGCUCAGUGAGUUUUGUCAUGAUUGUCACCAUGUUCUGGGCUGAGUAAAAAUACUCUUGAAAUAAUUAAAAAAAAAAAGAGUUAUUAUAUUCCUGCAUAUCGGGAGGGCAGGGCAGCAGAGGAACAGAGAUGAUCUGUAUUUAACCUAAGACAGAAGAGAGCAUGGUGAGUCUUAAUGUUUAGCUGAAGAAAGAAAUGGGUGGUAGAGCAGACCAGAAGCUUUCCUGCUUUUUGAUAGAAGAAUUUUGAGUCUACCUAAUUUUUGGAAACCAGAUUUGUGAUUAGGUUGCUAACAUAUUUUGUGCUGUAGUUAAAGCCUGAAUUCACAGGAAAACGGAUUCUCACUGUAGAGCAAAGCCCUGCUCUGUGUGGCAGAACAGAGCUACAGAGUGGGACAUUCUGCACAACUUGUGAAACAUUUAAAAUGAAGCUUUGAUGCAACACAGCAAUAUGUUAUAAGGAAUACUUUGUGUAAGUGACCUGCAGAAAGCAAAGUUUUUUUCCCUUGUUCCAACCACUUCUUAUUAUUCUCAAUUACAUUUAUAACUCUUGAAUAUGCUUCUCCUCACAGACUUGUAUGGUGCCUAGUCCAAGGGACCUCAGUCUCUAAUGGGAUCCAUUGGCAGGAUUACCAUGUAAAACAGAUGUUCUUACCAUGCACAAAUUCCUCCAACAGUGACAGAAGCCAGUUCUUGUCUCUCCUCUUUCCUGAUUAAUUCUUGGAUGCAGAUAGCAGAGGGUGGGUAGGAGAUAUAUCCAUGUGUGUUAAAUCCCAUGAAGUAAAAUAACUAAGGUACAUGGAUGGUGGGCUCUGGUACUUCAGGGGAGCACUGGAGAUACCACAGGGUGCAUGCAGGACACCUAGCUCAGUCAUAUUGCCCAUCCAGUCAACAAAUUUCUCUACCCAGGUGUAAAUAAGCACAAAAAAAACAUGCACAUAAAAGAGAGAAUAGUUCACACUUAAUUUGCUGCUGAAUUCCUCCUACUUUUCCUCAACCUUUGUAAAACAUAGUUGUGAAUGCAUGUCACAGUUUUUCAACUGGCUACUCUCAGCUGCUUCUUGCAUCUCAUAUCUCUUGGUUCCCAGUUCUGCUGUGUAUGUUAUAACUGGUGAGAAAGGCUGGACCUAUGUGACUGAAAUACAGCAAACAGCUUCGCAGUUGAUUUUGCCUCUCUAUUGUUAGGAAACAUCAGACUGUUUGAAAGAUGAUCACACUCGGAAUUGUAAACUUCUCCCUCACGAGCUCUUUGCGAGUUGAUGAUUAAACACAUUAGCUUAAAACUAGGGAUGACUUGAAAAUAUUUUGUCGAAGGAUAACUUCUCAUUCCAGACAUUUUUACCCUUGUGCUGACAUAAUUUUGGUUGUCGGAGUCCCUGAGCUUCCUGUUGGUUGUAUUCAUUACCCAUGGAUGCCAAUGGCAAGACCAUACCCUGUCCCACUGUGUCUGGUUCCUCCCAACAAAGCCAGCAUGCAGUGAUAUCCGCUAGCAAACAAACAGAGGAAAAAGACCUGGAAAGCAGGUAUCUUAACUUGCUAUAUGCAAGGCCAUCUGUCAGCUACCUAGCAGGUAAAUGUAUACUGGCUAGCAAGUGUGUCUUGUUGAAGACUUAAUUGUCUAUCACUAUUACUAGUUACUGAAUGCCAACAAUCUGUUCCCUGGCAUACAGUAGGAGACACAGUUUUCUUGUCCUCAAACAGGUCUCAUGAAACUAUAGUGAGAGAAGAUAAGUAAUAAACAAUAAUGAACCACUUGGUUCAGCUUAACUCUUGCAGAAAUAAAUUUCUUCCCCUGCUUUCCCAGGAGGUUUUUCUCUUUCUCAGAUUCUCUCAAAAAUGCACUGAAACCAGGAAAAAAUGGAUUUAUGCAGGUGUUUAUAAUGUGCCAUCCUAUUUAAUUUGCUCCUAAGCAGUGACUGGGAUUACUGUAUUGUCUAAAUAUGUAUAAGGAGGGAAUUUAAGCCACAGGGAUUUCAAGCUCUCUUGUUACCUAAUCCUCCUCUCAGACAGCUACAUCAUCCAAUUAGCGCUGGUUCUGUCAAGACUUUCAGACUCCUCUGAGAAUAAAAUAUUGUUUCAGGUCCAUGGGGACAUACUCUAGAGCAAGACAACCUAUGUCCUCUAAACACGGGAGCUAAACUCCCCUGCUUCCUCCCCAUAACUGAAGCUUCUGAGAAAAAGCAACCGAAAAUAAAGGAUUUCUGAAGUAAUUUUUAAAUGCAUGAUGGGCUUUAUAUUACAUUACUUCUAAAUUUCAGAUUAGCCUUAAUAGAAGUGUAUUACUAAAUAAUUCAAUAGUCAGAAGAAUUUCAGAUUCUGUCUGAUUGAAGACUAUAUGAAGGAGAACAUACAGUGUAAACAGACAGAGAAACACUUUUAUACAGACUAAGUAACUUAGCCACCUCUUUUGCAAAGUAAGUUUGCUGACUAGACUAGGCUACACAACAGCAGCAGCAAACAGUAAACCCAAUAAACUAUGUGCUGGGAGUGUUCCCUCACCUGCUACCUGAAUCCUUGGGCCUGUAUGUUUAUAUGAAUUAACUUAAUGCCUGAAUGAGGUGAUAAAAAUAAGUAAGCAGCAUGUGGCCUAAAGUUCUUUUGAAAAGUGGGACUUAUGACUUCAUGCAAUCUUGAAAAUUACAAUUCAGUUUGAAAAUUCAGAGGAACAAUGAGAUGGCUGACCUGAACUGGAUCAUUAAAACAAAACUGCUGUUCAGUUCUCUCCAACAACUGUGGUUUCAUUUUUAAUUUUCCACUAAGUUGAAGCUGGGUUCCUCACUGAUGUCUAGUACAAUGUGUCACACAGGUUACUCCCUGCUUUGCUCAGAAGAGAGAAGACUAAAUAACAACACGUGCUGCAGAUGGCCAUUUUUCAUUUAUUGCCAUGCAUAAAUCAGGGUCCAUACAUGCUGAAGUUUAUCUAUGGAAAUCUACAAUCUUAUUAUUUCUCUCCCUCACAGGUCUAUUUUUUGUUUAUAUGUCCUUCAGUUUUCUUCUCCUGUUACCUUUAAAAAGGGUGGGGGCUUGUUUGUUUGUUUGUUUGUUUGUUUUCCCUUUUUGAUUGAUUUUCUGUCUUAAGUGUAACUUUGCAUAGUAGCCUGAGGGAAAUACUCCAAUCAGGAGAAACAGGUGAUUAGGUGAUGUUGUGGCUUGAUUUUUAUCACCUUUUCUUUGACUUUUCUCAGGAAUGCUAUUGCCGUGCUGGAAGAUGUUAAUGGCUGCCAUAAAAUUUGUCUUUGAUCUGCAGAAAAUUCCAGGCCUCAUUAAUCCCCUGGUUAUGGUGGGCACCCUCCAUUCAGUCUAAACAAGAAGCAGCAGCUAGGCUCUUAUAUGAAAUAAAAUUGCUGAAAACAGUAGAAGCCACCACCCAGGCAGUUAUCCUACAAAGAAAAGCUCAAGCAUGAACUAAUUUGUGAAGAACAAAGAACUUUUCUGGGAAAUUAUUAUAUAUUCACUGGCUGAGACAUCAACUGAUAUGAGCUAUGUGUUUAAAAGUAAUCAGAAAGCUGUGAAAAAAACAAAUAGACAAUAUGGGUGGCCCAGGGAGAAAGCCAAAAGAAAAAGCUUUGGUUGAGCAGAGUACCUACUGAAAAAGGAGAGCUGGAUUUCUGAGCAAGGAAAUAACCUUCUGCUGUUUGUUCCUAACAGAUUGAGUGAAACAAGACUUUGUGUACAUUCUUUGCAAAUGCAGAGGAUUUCAUUGGAGAAACAUAACCUGGCCAGAAUCAACAGCUCCUUGUGCUGAAAGAAACAUGUUAAGAUCGUAAUUGGUGGCUGAAUGUUUGAUUAGGACAACAGUUCAUUGAAAAUGUGUGUUAUUUUGUAAAGUUUGUUUGUUUUCUGGGAAUGUAGACUUUUUGUGAGAAGUCAAAUUCGUAUGACCAGCUCAGGGAGGCUCAGGGAACUGCGGCAUCAAGCAGCUCAGACUGUCUUUCCUUUUUCACCAUGACAAAUUGCAGCAUAAAUCUGGCAACUGAGUGAUCCUCAUGACUGUGCAGGUGAAUAACCAAAUUCUACUAGAUUGGGUGAAUUUAGUUCUCAGAAUCCUUGGAAAGAUAGUUCCCACUUUUAGUGCAAUAUAAGAUUAAGUAAGGUUCAAAGACCAUAAAUCUGUGCUGAGUUGAGCCUAAAGCUAUAUAGAGAUGUUUCAGGCUACUAAACUGGCUUGGUCACUGUCAGAGCCCUUUUGAAUGCAUAUAAUUGCUUUAAAGAAACUUUUGUUGUCAAUGGGAGUUGGGUCAGUGAAGUUUUAUUACCGUAGUUUAAAGAUAGAGCAUUAAAAACCUUAUUUCUGCUCUGACACCCCUACUAACAUGAGGCUUUUUCCUAAAUUGUGUGAAGUAGUGUGUUGAAGUAGUGUAUCUGAUGUCUUUUGAAUUCCUGCUCAGAAGAGUGCAUAUUAAAAAACAGAAUCACAGUUUUUCCACUUUUUAUAGAUUUGGCAGGGGACUUAAGAUCUGAAAGGAAAAGGUAUCUGUACUAUAUCUCUCCUCUCCUUUCCAACCUACUGUGUGCCAAUGAGCACGUAUGCUGUGUAGUUUGGGGAGUUUGUUCCUCUUCAGUCUUCUCAAUAUCUGUUCUACAGAGGAAAAACCUACCUGUUCAGCCAUUUGAGAAGUGCAAACUUUGCUUUGGAAAUUCUUAAUAGACUGCAUUUUAUUUUGGCUAAUUUUAUUCCUACAGUUUGUUUGUAAAAUGGAAAACAGAAGAAAAGAACAUACAGAGUAUACCAAUGCCUUAAGCAAAAAUAGCUCAGCUAUCUAAGCUGACCUGCUGUUGGAAAAUCUCCUAAGUAACUCCGAUCCCUCUCUUCAUCAUUCUCUCAUCUCCAAAGUAAUAAAAGUGGAGUUAGAACAGCAAACACCUGGCAUGUUGGUCACGCAGCAUGACUUUACAUUGUAAUCAUCUCAUCAAGGAGCUGAAAAUAGCAUUGUACUGCAGUGUUCGAGCGGUACAGCUUCAGGAAGGAAGACAAUAACCAGCAUUUGGCAGCAGCCUACACGCUAACUGCGAGCGAUACAGACGUAUUCCACAAAUUGUAUCCCUCGUCUAAUCUUGAAAAUAUUUACCCUGCAUCCCCUGGCAAUGCAUCACUGGGGCCCACACGCUUCUUGUCUCCUAGUACAAGGUGGUGGGCAUUCACUGUGAUGCACAUAACCAUAAAACAGUCUUCCGUAUAGCAACACUCACUCCAGCGUUCAACAAAAUCCUGCAUAAAAUGAACUUAAUUCUAGGAUGUUCAGUGUGCCAUACAAAUUAUUGGAGAGAAUGGCACAAAAAAACUUUGUUUGAAUGAAUUAAAGUGAAUCACGAGCAGGUAAGAAUCAUGAUACACGGUUACUAGACUGCGCAACAGUCCAGGAAUAUAAGACUUAAAGUAGAAAUUUGGACAAGAGAUCUUGCCUGAAGAUAAUUUGUGAAGGAGAUCAAGAGGGUGGAAAGUGUCUCAGCUAAUCUGGCACCGAGGCAAUGCCAUGCAGGAUUAUGGGGACCACAGGGGUUAAAAAGAGGAUAGAAAAUAGGCACUGUUUUCCAAAAGUGGAUGCCAUAGUGCCAGAAAAACUUCUUAUAACUUUCUUGGGAAAAAAGCACAAAUUUUGAAACAUGUAAAUCUGAGUAUUUUCAUGUUCAGUCUUACACACUCAUUCAUACACACAGCUAACAAAUUAAUCAGUAGACUAAUGGUGCUUGUACAUUUUUGGCUUUGGGGAAAUACAUCUUUCAUUAUGAGUAGUUUUUUAUCGCAUUAUAUCAGCACAGCUCUCUGGGUUACCAUCUGUAGAAAUACAGUGGAAGUAACAAGAUCAUCAAAAGGAAUAGGACUAGAGCACAGCACCUUUGCGUACUAGCAAUUUUCAUUCAAAUUUGAUGUUAUGUUGGCACUUGCAUUCACUAGCCUGAAGAAGCUGGUGGAGAUAAUCUCUGAUCUAAGUAUGAUUACUAAAUUGUGGCAUACUAGAAACAUUAAAGAAUUCUGAGUGCUAAGAUUGUAACAGUUUUCCGAAUGUCAGGUAGGAUUAACCAGAUAUCUGUGGAGAAUUCUGCUUGUCCUCAUUCCCAGGCAAUAUGAUCAGAAAGCUGAUAUUCCACUGAUUGAGUAAUAUAGGUAUAAUCAGUACAACUCUAUGUUAUUUUAUAGAAAAUGGUCAAACAAAUAUGCUUUCAUUCUCUGAGGAGAUUACUUCCAUGCAAACUUCUUCAUUUACCAAACUCACAGUCUGCUUGGUCAUUUUCUGGACACUUGAGCUAAUAUGGCACGGCUUUCUGAUUAAAAAAAAAUAGUGCUAUAUAAAAUAAUUCAAGCAUACUGCAUUACAUAAAUUAAGAACUGCCUAACCAGCAGGCCCAAAAAAAGCAAACACCAAAGGGAAUUGCCCUCAAAUGGAGAUGCUUCUACUGAAGUUUGCAGGAAUUGGUGUUAAGCCAUAACGUCGUGCAAUAUUUUCUUCUGCUGAAAAAAACUGUAGAUAAGAAAAGAAGAGCAGAACAAUAAUUAAGGAAGAGGGCAGGAUAGUUGUACAAAACAACCUGUACUGUGUAGUAAAACAGAUCCCUGUUAAAUAAAGUUAUCUAUUAGCACAGUCAAAGCUAAACUGUCUAUGCAGAAGCAGGAAAUACAAAUGUAAUAAAAGCAUUUUUUUUUCACCAGCAUUUGGAUGCUAUUCAGAAACAGGCUUCUGUUCUCUACGGAGGAUUUUGGGAUUAUAGAAAACAAUCAGUAGAUUUUAGCUGUGAGGAUAUGGAGGAUAACACUGGAAGUAGAAACAGGAGAACAACAAAUGGUAGAAGGCAGGCAACUUUUCCUCCUUUGUAUUUUAUGGGUGAUGCUGCAGAGGGCAAGGCAUAAAGAAGAGCCUCAGAAAUAUUUUUUUAAAAUGAAGAAAAUGGAAAGAUUGUAAAGAUUCAGAGUUCAGCUUAUUAAAACAAGAUGACAUUUAAUUACAGAGUGUAAGUACGACAAGUAGGAAGAAAAUAGUGGUAACUGGAGGGUUUUUUAUUCUAGCAGAGAACAGCAUUAUGAGAAAUGAGGGAUGUAAGUUAAACCCAUGUAAUGUUAAAUUGGAAAUAAUCAAAUUUUUUCCAACACUGAAGGUGGUUACCUUUUGGAAAAUGCUUCAAAGGGAAACACCAAUUUAUCUAUUUAAAAUAUCUUUAGAUUAACAUUUGAAUUGGGCCCGAUGCUGAAACAAUCAGAAAAAAGUUAAGAUUUGUACAAUGAGUGACUCCUUUUCUCACCCUUAGAACUUUUGCAUUCAUUGCAGGUGAUGCCUUAAUAUCCUGUUUCUAUACAAGCAUUCAAUGUAGGUGUAUUUUUAAUGCAGUUUACUUGUCUGAGUUCCCCUUUUUGAACAGUAUAUUAUGUGGUCAUCAUGAGGGUAGGGCCUAAUCUGUACUUUUGAAUCAACAGGCAAAAUUUAGUCUGCUCUCCUGUGUUUUUGUUGGGGGGUGUGUGUGUGUGUUUGGUUGGUUGGUUUGGUUUGUUUUUUUUGUAGCUUCCUUGGUUGGUUGGUUGGUUUUCUUUGUUUGUUUUCACUUGGAUUGACAAACUUUAUUUUCACUUUGCUGUUCUUGUGACAGGGAGCUAGCAGAAGGUAAAACAUGGUGGGCAUUUUUAUAAAAUGAAAUUUUAAGCAAUGGUUUUGCUAAUGCAUUAUUGUUUCCCAAGGGUCUUCUCAGGUGAAAAAUGAAAACCUGAUUUCUAUUUUGCUGUGAGAUAUGCUGAUGUGUCCCAUACGCUAUCAUAUUUUCAUGCUUCGCAAACAGGUAACUUUAGCUAGAGGAAGACAUGAAAAAUAUGUAAAAUUAAGACAUUUAGAAAAGGAUGAAGGAGAGAGCAAUCUAUAAUAAAAGAUAAUGCAGUUUGGCAUGUUUGAAUUCUAUGUGAUAUUCAGCCUCAUUAUUUUUCCCCAGUGGAAGUCAAGGAGUUUUCAAAUAAUUAUGUUUUAUCACAUUGUGUAUGCUGAAACAAGAGAAGAAGAGAGAAACUGCCCAUAACUCUUUUGCACACGACUGUUUAUAAUUUUUUUGCAGAUUUUAACCUCUUUAAUUGCCUCUCUUAGCAAUCCAUCACUUCUGCUGCUUAUAUUUGCUAAAAUAAUAUAAAUUGAAGAAAAUCAGCUCUGGCACACUACGUUUUAAGAUAUAAAGAUAUAAACACACUGGAGAGUAGCUACUUGAAUCAGAGCAGUUAAGCAGUCAUGGCUAAAACUAGUAAUUUAAGAUUGAUGACAGCUGUCUUUGCAACUGGAAUAUGAGAUGAAUAUACAUUUACCACUGCUUGCGUUCAUUCUUUCUAGGGGCUGAAACCAUAAAUGUAUCAGUUUCUAGCUGCCUGGCACAGCAAAAAUGAGCGUUGUGUCUUGUGCCCCUUCCAGGUUUAGGUUUAUAGAUCCUAGAUUGCACAGUGCGUGGCUGCUGAAUAGUAAAUGGGAUUUGAUGCUUUUCUCUGUGAGAUAUUGCUUUAGGAUUCAGUUAAUGGUAGAGGAAACUUCUACCUAUUUGAUUUUCAUCUUAUUGCAAUUUUUUUUUUUGGACUGGUGUCACAAAAACACACCAGUAUGACUUGUACCAUGGUCAGUAAUUCUGUGAGAGAAAAAGACAGAAAAGUGAGGAAGAGUGAUUUAUCAUGUCAUUUCUGAGAGUGGGCCUCUUCUGCUUGGAGAUGGAGCCAACUGGCAGUAAAAAAGCUCACGCUGCCACUUGGCACUUACAGCCUUAGGCUGUCAACAACAAUACUUAGCAUUUAUAUAAUGCUGUACUGGCAUUAGCUAAUUAAUUCUUACAACACUACUGGGAGAUGAGUCACCAAACACCUUUAGGAAGACCUUCAUUUUAAUACCUCUGGCAAUGUUAUGUACCGAAAUGCACAGAUUACUGGUAUUCAUCUCGGAAGCUAGAAGGUGACAUAAAUAUUUUAUCACAUUUUUUUAAAUAAAAAAAGAAAUAAUAUAAAAAAAAAUCUCAGAAGAUUAGUAAUGAAAGAUGUUCAUGCUUUUAAACCUUUAUUCAAAUCCACCUUGUGUCAGUAGUGAAUAAAAGGGAAUUCCACCAGACAACUGGUUAAUUUCAGAUGAAAUCUCAAGGAAUAGUAACUGGUGCCAAAAGAAAACACACCAAUGUACUUGGGAUAAAAUAAAUCUCCUUCAGAUUGUUAACAUGGAGGGAAAAGCAUUGAAAAUUAAAAUAUUUGUGUUUCUCACCUCGACUGCUGGGCCUCCUAGGCAGAGUUGAAAGAUGCCAUUACUCUUCCAGAGCAGAUCAACACUGCUUGCCAAAGCAAACCCUGCUUCAGCAUGUGGGAAUUUAUUUCUUCCCCACUUACAAAGUCCCAUUUUUGGGGGUGAGGAGUGGUUUGAAGCCUCAUGCUGUUCUUCACCUGUGGUGGGCACAGCCACAGUACUGUUCCUGGCAGGCUAAAGUUUAUCUUUGCACUUUUCCCUCCUGGUAGGUGAUGGCCGGUGAUAGUCUUGCUGAGGAACAUUCUCUCUGGUGCCACCCCAGUUUCUGCUCCUUGUGGGGUGCCCCACAGCCAGGAGGGCAGUUCUGGGGCUGCUGACAGUGCCUGGGCUCUGGCAAACCAUCAGCAGUGCAGCCCUUGACAAUGUCUUGCAGGUGACAGAGAGAGGAAUAGAGUGCUUACACUAGUGCUGUUUCUAGCAGAGGCAGGUGUACCAUAUAUGGUAAAAUGCUGGAAACAUAAAUGUGUUGUUGAGAUACAAAUGAAUGGAUUCUCCUUUUGGGCUCACCCAGAGCAUCUCACUUCCUAGCCUGGUAAUUGCUCCCGAGUCUUUCUACUUAGAAGUAGUCUGCUCUCUCCAACUCAUCUACAAAACACACAAACUGAUAACUUUCCUGUGAGUACUAUAGCUGCAAAUGAAGGACAAGUAAGACCUUUCAGAACGGAACGUGCCAUCACAUCUGUGUCAGCCAAACAGGCUGCUGUUUGUUGUAUUAUUACUACAUACUAGCACACAGAAGUACGCUUCUGUACAUGGAAGUACAGGAAACUUCUGGUACUUCUCUUUCUACUGCAGGCCACUGCUUUUUACAGAGUAGGAAUUAUUUGGAAUUAAUCUACUCAGAAAAGACAUUGCUCACAUUCCUGAAUAAAAUAAUUUAUCUUAAAAUCAAUGUAUUGCAUUUGGAGUCACAUAUCCACAAAAUUUUUAUGGAUUUAUUGGUUUGCUACAAGGAUUAUUGAACCCAAAAUACAUCAUAAGGACUUAUCUCCCCUACCAAAAAAACCCUGUUACUAGGCAUAGCCUGUUAAAAUAUAAUACCUAACAUAGAUAAUGUGACAUCUUUACAUUCUACAUAUAAUGAUACCAAACAUGCAAAAACUAACCCUGGAAGUUGCUAUAAUAUUGAUGUUUUGGAUACAUCAUGUGCAUGUAUAUUUGUGCAUGUAUAUUUGUGCACAUAUGUAUGUAAACAUAUAUUUAGUAUAAUAUUAUAAUAUUUAAUAUAAUCUUAGUAUGAUCUAUAGGUAUGCACAUAAUAAAGACAUUUAUGUUGCAAUUUUUCUAGAUUGCCACAGGUACAGUUUUGUUUAUGUAAAAUGAGAGCACACAUCAGAGUUAUCUGUCAAUUUAAUGUACGUAAGACAAUAAUAAAAAACAGUGUGCAAGUAAUCUGUACCUAUUUCUUUCACCACAGAACCGUAACUUGUCUGGCAACAUAUUUAGAGUGCUGUAUUCUGUGACAGAGUUUUAAUGUAUGUAACAAUGUGGUUAAUAUGUGUGAUAUUUUUUUAAAGCUCAAAAAGUAGCCUGUAAAUAUUCAGUAAUAAUCUGUAAUUGAGUUCAGGGUUGAUUUGUUCUCUGUGUUAGAAUUAAAAUAAAUUUAGGAAAUUGUUUCAGAAGGUACCUUUAGAAACUGCUUUUCAGUCAAACACCUCAGAUUUAACUUGCAUACAUUCAGAAGCAGCCAGUAAAGCUACUUAAUAAUGGAGAGCAUGUGAUUUCAUUAACGAGCAUGAUUUAAGCCUGUAGUUUUUAACAGUUUAUAAAAAAGGUGAAAAAUUAUUCUGGACAACAUUUCUGCAGCUUGUCUAUAAACAGGCUUCAAAACAGACUUCAAACUUUUUGAGGAACUAUCUUCUUAUACUGAAGAAUGUCCAUUGCAAGAGAUUACAAGCUAGCAGUUUAUUUGUAUAAACUUUGUUUUCAAGUGUUGCAUCACUGUGUGUGUUUUGAUAAACUGGUCUCUAUUACUUAUCUUCAUUAUUUUAAAAAAGUCUCAAAGAUAACCCUACUGCCUCAUUGAAUGCAAAUAAAUUUAGUACAAAACUGGGAGCAGUGGCUGAUACACCAGAAGGUUGUGCUGCCUUUCAGAGAACUCUGGACAGACUGGAAAAAUGGGCCAACAGGAACCUCAUGACAUUCAACAAAGACAAAUGCAAAGUCCUGCACCUGGUGAGAGAUAACCUCAUGCAUCAGUACACACUAAGGGCUGACCAGCUGUAAAGCAGCUCUGCAGAGAAAGACCUUUGAGUCCCUGGCAGGCGAGAAGUUGAUCAUGAGCCAGCAGCUUGCCAUCCGGGCAAAGAAGGAGUGAGACCAACACAGGACCACCAGAAUGAUUAAGACAUUGGAGCAUGUUUCACAUAAGAAGAAGCUGAGAGGGCUGGGAUCAUUCAGUCUGGAGAAGAGAAGGCUCAGUGGUGGGGGAGAGGGAUGUUAUCCAUGUGUACAUCACAUCUACGUUACGGGGAGGGAAUGAAGACUUUUCUCAGUAGUGCCCAUUGACAGGACAAGAGGCAACAGGCACAAAUUAAGACACAUGAAAUUCCAUCUGAACAUAAGAAAACACUUUUUCACUGUCAGGUGAUCAAAUGCUGGAUCAGGUUGCCCAGAGGCACUACAGAGUUUCCAUCCUUGGACAUACUCAACACCCAGCUGUCCAUGUUUUUUGGGCAACUUGCUCUAAAUGACUCUGCUUGAGUGGGUGGGAGCGGACUAGAUGGUCUCCAGGGGUCUUUGCCAACCUAAAAACUUCUGUGAUUCUGUGAAGACAAACCAGUGAAACCCUCUGAAAUUUGGUAGUAUAUAGGAAAUAUUUUUACCAGUAUCAGGGCUUUCAAAAGCUCUCUGAGACCCUCAAACAAA